AGAGCAUCUUCUGGCUAUUCUGCCAAUUUCCUGAAGGUCGCCUUGGAUUUUUUAUUGCUUGUGCUAAAAGAAGCAUCUGGCUUGUAGUUUUAACAUCUGAGAGGGAACGCAGAAGAAAAAACAGUUGCUGCAUCAGUGUCUGUAGAAGAAAUAACUGCUUCAUUCUACCAGUAGCUCUGCCAGGGUGUGUGCCGGUUUCCUGGGGAGAAUGUUUCUACAUUUGCAGAGGCCUUUGUUCAGACACCAGAUGAUUCUGCCCUGAUCAGAGGUGAUAGUUAUAAAAGGUGUGAGUGCCAUAGCUGCCAGCUGAAAAACACUGAUUAAUUUUUAACUCAAAGCUCUUCUCCACACUGAAGUUCUAGAGACAGGCUAAGAUCACAGUUUCCUUUUCCUGCUACCAAACCACAGACUGACAUUCCUUGGACACUGGCUCAUGAAUUUUUAAUUUGUGAGCUUGGCAGCGCUGGUUGCAUUAGAGACACAACAACUGAUUUUAAUGAGUGUAAGAUUAAUGCAGAUGAGCUUGGCUGAAACUGUGAUCCAGCUGAGGAGAGAGGAUUUUUCUCACUUCACCUACCAGCUCUCUCCUCAGUGGGCUAUUACGUUACAAGCAUUACCAUAGGAGAGCAUAUUCUCUUUACUGGUCAUUACCUGUGGGAGAGAUGCUCAUUAAAUAGCUUGUUUUAUACAGGAGAUUUUGCAUGUUAACCCUUGGUGGCUGUCCUGGGCCCUCAGCAGUCCUGUAUGGCUGACUAUGACUCUUGAGCAUGUAAGCAGGGAAGGAGGAGGACUGUGGCUGGAUGUGCACUAACAGAGGAGAAACCUCCCUUCACCCUCUGUGCCAGUGCCCAUUGGAAGGGGAAGGGGAAGACUUUUGGCUAUCUUGUGGAGCCACCCUAGCCAGCUCCAAAUGAGGCCACAGGCCACAUAAGUCUAAAAGGAGCUCAGCAUGGACUAUCAGCCCUCCUGGAGGAGCUGCGUUGUUCGUCUCGUGUUGUGCUGUUGUGGCUGCACAGCCACCAGUACCUGAGCUACUUUAUUAAACUACAGAAUAACACACACUGGCAGGGACCUCAGGAGAUCUCCAGUCCUUCCUUUUGCUCAGAGUAGGGUCAACAGUGAUUUCAGACGAGGCUGAUGACCACAGGCAGAAGGACGGUUGUACACAGCAUUUGUCUCAGAGGUAACUUUAAGCAGAAUGUAAAAGGUUGGGUACUUACCCAGCAUGGGUGAACGCUGAAGGGUUCUUCAAGUCCCAUCUCUUUUCCUCACCAAAAGUUCCCACAAACUUCCCAUCUGAGGUCCACAGUCUGGUGUUUUUUUCUGAGGAACCACCGAAGAUGACUGAAUCUGACCCAAACAUGAAGUGCUCAACACUCACCACCGUUGGGCUGCGGGCUCUCCAGUAACGGAGAUUUCUCCAGAGGUCCCUGGGCAAAGCAAAUAGGAGAAAGAGGCUCAGCUGUUGCCAGGACCUUACCUCUCCCCAUCUGUGAUUGGUAGCACUUUCAGAGACUGAAACACUGCAAUUUUUGCCUGCUUGGGUUGCAGAGCGAAUGUAGCAGGCGUAUUUAUGAGUGGAGUAUGACAAACCAUAAAUAACGAGGAGUGUCCCCGGAAAGCAUUAAGGGACGGUGGAGGAGACGGCCUGCCGGGCGGCUAGGGAACUUGCUUGGUGAAUAGCGUUCAGCUCUCGCUUUACAAGGCUCUCCUGUCUGACCGCGGGGCUUUUAUUUCCCUGACAGAGAUGUUGAAAUGAACCUCUGAUCACUGGGAUAAACGCUCCCCAAGAUAAGGGGUUUGUAUAUCCUGUUUUUAAAGCUGGUCUUGUAAAAUGUUUAAAAGCUUUUCUGUUUACCUAGCAUUUCAGUGUCUGUAAAUGGCUUAAACUUUUUUUGAGCUAUUCUCAGUGGCCUUAUCUACAACUCAGUGACUAUGAUGUUGCACGUUCAAAAUCAGAAGGAAUUAAAAAAAUACGUAAAGUAAAAAGCAGCGGGUCAGCUACAUUCCUGGUUUUAUGUUGGAAAAAGCUGCUGAUUACAAGGCCCAGAAACUCCUGUAGUUAUUUCAGACAGAACAGGUUGCAAACAAGCUAGGAAAACUUGUACUCUAGAACUUUACCCUUCUGAAAUGUACCUGAGAAACGGCUGGGACACGAGGCCAGGAUGUGAGGCUGAAAGCUUUGUAUCUCCAUAGUCUCAGUGAUGUGCUCUGAACUCCUGGGUCAAGACCCUGGCCCCCACUGAAGUUACUAGGAAGACUCCCAAAGACUGCAGUGGAGCCAGGAUUUCUGCAGGUCACCAGGCCUGGGUGUUCACUUCGUCUUGCUGAAGACAAGAACGGAGCAGAUUUAACAGCAUUACCAAACUCCACCACCAACGGCUGACAAGAAUUGCUCGGUCUUUUGAAAUGCUGUUUCUAGAGCAAUGCUGGAUGAAGAGCAAUUUACCCGCAGGAGGAUGUGACCUAAUCAGGCAAUGAGUAAUGCAUUCAGAUCAUGCCUAGCCUUUAUUGUCUCUGACUACCUCCAGGCCUACGUACCCAAAACUUUCUUAAAGGGUAACUCAGCCCGUGCAUGAUACUAGUGAAGAUGAAAGAAAAGAGCAAGAAACAUUGACUAUCGAGAGCACCAAGCUUUCUCCCGGAAUUUCUUAAACAAAAAAAUAAUGUGCAAACACAUGCAUAUGCACACACACACACACACACCACACACACGCAUAUGCAGCCACUCACACAUGCAUUUUAAAAUGCUUUUAUUAGACUGCUUAGGUUGAUUUCUAGAGAACCAACAUCAGAAUAAAUCCAUCUACUCUCAAAAAGCCCCAUUAACAUUAGUGGCAUGCAGGCCAAGACUCAGCUUGCCCCCAGAGGGCCGGAUCAGCGAGCCUGUGACAUUUUACACUGCCGUUUUCCACAUUUUAUAUUUCAGCUUUCAUAUGCACAGUCCUGCCAGUAUAAUAAUAGUACAGCUGCUUUUCAUCUUCAAAGCACUCUGCAAACAUUAAUUAUGCUUAAAAUGGUGUUUAAGAAGCCCUCAGAGUUUGCCCAGAACUCUGAGAUGACCUCAGAAGGAGAAUGAAAGUUUUCUGUGUGAAGCACCUAGUUUAAGAUGUAUUAUUUCAACAAAGACACUACCCCCGUCAGCCUCUGCCCAUUCCCAACCACUUAUGUUAACCAUGAUAUGGAAGAUAAAUAGAAAAAUGUUGGAGAACAGCUGAGAUGCUGACGUAUUUAGCGUUAAGGCUCUAAUAAAGACGAAAGCUUUUUAUGAGGAAAAAAGAAUGUAUAACUUGGAACCUGUUCAACUAUGUAACACACAAAACAGGCCUAUUAACUCCCUUGGCCUACAAUUUAAUAAAUACCUCUCCAUCAAUCAUCCUAAAGCAAAUGAUACCCUUUCUGCUGAGGCUCUCCGAGGUAGAUGAUAUGCAAUUCUGUAUUCCAGACCACAAUUUCUCCAACAAAAUUGGCUGUAGCAAGAAGUCCAAGAGCAGGGCAAUGAUCUACUGCCAAAAUGUCCUCUUGGUGCAACUACCGCCCCUUCCAAGAGGGCUUUGGAGAGACUUGUAAGUCCUACAAUCAGAGUGAGAGCAAGAGAGAGAGUUAAACCAAGUUUGGUUAAGCAGACGUAUCCCAGAGCUCAGGAGUGGAGCAAGUGUGUUACAAAUGCUGCCUUUGCUGAUAAACAGAGACAAGUGUUAUUUCAAGCACCAGCUAGAGAAGAGUGUGCUUUUCUGCUGGAAAACUUUGCUUUUAGCGCUGCAUGACUUAUUCACCUCUCUGCCGGUUUGACAACUACAUGCCUCUGACUUCAACUGGACUUCUAACCAGCUCACCGCAAGGUCAUUUCUGCAGCUGUAGCUAAGAAAUAUGUCUUGUACCCUAAAGCUAGGAGUGUCACUGCUGUGGUGCGCAGCGCAGGAAAGCCUUUGCUGUCUAGCAGGCAGCUGUUUCCAUCCGGUUUGUCCUCUCCCACUCAACCCAAGCUUACGCAAGUUUUUCAGGACAAUGUGGCAGCUCCAUCCCACUGCCAGCAGGGUUUGGUGUGCAGUGUGACCAGUGCUGUGAUUUCAGCUUCUUCCAUCACUUCCAGCUGGUGCAAGCUGUGACCGCUGUGAACGGCCCAGACCUGUCCCAAAGCAAACAUGGUUAGUUUGACCCAACCCAGUAUUUGUAUGAUGUUUUCCAAGCCUGUGGGAGGAGAAAGGCAGAUAAAAAGAUGCUAAAUGUUGCUCCAGUCCCAAACAGUGAGGAGGGUAAAGAGGAUCAGAACUGAACCUACAGCUCUAAAUGUAACUGAAAGCAUCAGAAGAAGAGAUGCUUUUCAGAGAGGCAGGUGACUCAUUGUCCGCAGCGAGAGCCAAGGGGCAAGGAAACUCAGUCUAGGGAGAACUGCCUCUGGGUAGAAAAAUCCUUGUGACAGCCAGCCUGGAGCUGAUAUGGGGUUAUAGCACCAACUCUCUCUGGGUCAGAGCACAAACCUUGAUGGUCCCAUUGCCUGCUGCAGUAAUAAGCUUUACUAGGAGGUGUUGAGGACCAUGCGUAUUAUCUCCUCUCUCCUGCGUGCAUGGCCGAUGGAGAGGAGUUUGGUACCUGGCUCAAUGAUGUCCCACACAGUGAUUGUGGAGUCUUCAGAUCCUGUCACCACCUUCCAGGAGAAGAGAACUUUCUUUGAAAUGUUCUGCUUUGCAGUGUUUUGACUUUGAUUAAUAAAGAGCCAUCCUGAGACGAGAACUGGAGCUAUGCCAUCAUGUGUGACAGAACUACACCUUCUUUGGCUGGAUGACCAAUACCCUCUGCUUUUAAAAGGGACAGCCACCAUGGCCAGAGAGCACAUCAACUACCUGCUGGUGUGCGUGUUUCUGCGUGGUGAGUUUGCCACACACAGUCACACUGAGGAGGUAAGCACUCACAUGCUGAGCUGUGAUUUGCAUUACAGAAUCACAGAAUUGCAGAAUCGUUUAGGUUGGAAGGGACCUCUGGAGAUCAUCUAGU